AACACAGUGGCUCACUGUGUUAGGACAUGGUGCUAAAAACUCUAAGGUUGUGGGUUCAAACCCACAUGUGGCA